rnacentral:rRNA from 1 species
GGGUUGUGAGGUUAAGCGACUAAGCGUACACGGUGGAUGCCCUGGCAGUCAGAGGCGAUGAAGGGCGUGCUAAUCUGCGAUAAGCGCCGGUAAGGUGAUAUGAACCGUUAUAACCGGCGAUACCCGAAUGGGGAAACCCAGUGUGACUCGUCACACUAUCAUUAACUGAAUCCAUAGGUUAAUGAGGCGAACCGGGGGAACUGAAACAUCUAAGUACCCCGAGGAAAAGAAAUCAACCGAGAUUCCCCCAGUAGCGGCGAGCGAACGGGGAGGAGCCCAGAGCCUGAAUCAGCAUGUGUGUUAGUGGAAGCGUCUGGAAAGGCGCGCGAUACAGGGUGACAGCCCCGUACACAAAAGCGCAUGUGCUGUGAGCUCGAUGAGUAGGGCGGGACACGUGGUAUCCUGUCUGAAUAUGGGGGGACCAUCCUCCAAGGCUAAAUACUCCUGACUGACCGAUAGUGAACCAGUACCGUGAGGGAAAGGCGAAAAGAACCCCGGCGAGGGGAGUGAAAAAGAACCUGAAACCGUGUACGUACAAGCAGUGGGAGCACAGGUUUACCUGUGUGACUGCGUACCUUUUGUAUAAUGGGUCAGCGACUUAUAUUCUGUAGCAAGGUUAACCGAAUAGGGGAGCCGCAGGGAAACCGAGUCUUAACCGGGCGUUAAGUUGCAGGGUAUAGACCCGAAACCCGGUGAUCUAGCCAUGGGCAGGUUGAAGGUUGGGUAACACUAACUGGAGGACCGAACCGACUAAUGUUGAAAAAUUAGCGGAUGACCUGUGGCUGGGGGUGAAAGGCCAAUCAAACCGGGAGAUAGCUGGUUCUCCCCGAAAGCUAUUUAGGUAGCGCCUCGUGAAUUCAUCUCCGGGGUAGAGCACUGUUUCGGCUAGGGGGCCAUCCCGGCUUACCAACCCGAUGCAAACUGCGAAUACCGGAGAAUGUUAUCACGGGAGACACACGGCGGGUGCUAACGUCCGUCGUGAAGAGGGAAACAACCCAGACCGCCAGCUAAGGUCCCAAAGUCAUGGUUAAGUGGGAAACGAUGUGGGAAGGCCCAGACAGCCAGGAUGUUGGCUUAGAAGCAGCCAUCAUUUAAAGAAAGCGUAAUAGCUCACUGGUCGAGUCGGCCUGCGCGGAAGAUGUAACGGGGCUAAACCAUGCACCGAAGCUGCGGCAGCGACACUGUGUGUUGUUGGGUAGGGGAGCGUUCUGUAAGCCUGUGAAGGUGUGUCGUGAGGCAUGCUGGAGGUAUCAGAAGUGCGAAUGCUGACAUAAGUAACGAUAAAGCGGGUGAAAAGCCCGCUCGCCGGAAGACCAAGGGUUCCUGUCCAACGUUAAUCGGGGCAGGGUGAGUCGACCCCUAAGGCGAGGCCGAAAGGCGUAGUCGAUGGGAAACGGGUUAAUAUUCCCGUACUUGGUGUUACUGCGAAGGGGGGACGGAGAAGGCUAUGUUGGCCGGGCGACGGUUGUCCCGGUUUAAGCGUGUAGGUGUGUGUUCCAGGUAAAUCCGGUUCACUUUAACACUGAGGCGUGACGACGAGGCACUACGGUGCUGAAGCAACAAAUGCCCUGCUUCCAGGAAAAGCCUCUAAGCAUCAGGUAACAUCAAAUCGUACCCCAAACCGACACAGGUGGUCAGGUAGAGAAUACCAAGGCGCUUGAGAGAACUCGGGUGAAGGAACUAGGCAAAAUGGUGCCGUAACUUCGGGAGAAGGCACGCUGACAUGUAGGUGAAGUGAUUUACUCAUGGAGCUGAAGUCAGUCGAAGAUACCAGCUGGCUGCAACUGUUUAUUAAAAACACAGCACUGUGCAAACACGAAAGUGGACGUAUACGGUGUGACGCCUGCCCGGUGCCGGAAGGUUAAUUGAUGGGGUCAGCGCAAGCGAAGCUCCUGAUCGAAGCCCCGGUAAACGGCGGCCGUAACUAUAACGGUCCUAAGGUAGCGAAAUUCCUUGUCGGGUAAGUUCCGACCUGCACGAAUGGCGUAAUGAUGGCCAGGCUGUCUCCACCCGAGACUCAGUGAAAUUGAACUCGCUGUGAAGAUGCAGUGUACCCGCGGCAAGACGGAAAGACCCCGUGAACCUUUACUAUAGCUUGACACUGAACAUUGAGCCUUGAUGUGUAGGAUAGGUGGGAGGCUUUGAAGUGUGGACGCCAGUCUGCAUGGAGCCGACCUUGAAAUACCACCCUUUAAUGUUUGAUGUUCUAACGUGGACCCGUUACCCGGGUUGCGGACAGUGUCUGGUGGGUAGUUUGACUGGGGCGGUCUCCUCCUAAAGAGUAACGGAGGAGCACGAAGGUUGGCUAAUCCUGGUCGGACAUCAGGAGGUUAGUGCAAUGGCAUAAGCCAGCUUGACUGCGAGCGUGACGGCGCGAGCAGGUGCGAAAGCAGGUCAUAGUGAUCCGGUGGUUCUGAAUGGAAGGGCCAUCGCUCAACGGAUAAAAGGUACUCCGGGGAUAACAGGCUGAUACCGCCCAAGAGUUCAUAUCGACGGCGGUGUUUGGCACCUCGAUGUCGGCUCAUCACAUCCUGGGGCUGAAGUAGGUCCCAAGGGUAUGGCUGUUCGCCAUUUAAAGUGGUACGCGAGCUGGGUUUAGAACGUCGUGAGACAGUUCGGUCCCUAUCUGCCGUGGGCGCUGGAGAACUGAGGGGGCUGCUCCUAGUACGAGAGGACCGGAGUGGACGCAUCACUGGUGUUCGGGUUGUCAUGCCAAUGGCACUGCCCGGUAGCUAAAUGCGGAAGAGAUAAGUGCUGAAAGCAUCUAAGCACGAAACUUGCCCCGAGAUGAGUUCUCCCUGAGACUUAGAGUCUCCUGAAGGAACGUUGAAGACGACGACGUUGAUAGGCCGGGUGUGUAAGCGCAGCGAUGCGUUGAGCUAACCGGUACUAAUGAACCGUGAGGCUUAACCUUACAACGCCGAAG